GUGUUCACUUUCAUAGCACACACGCUGGCAUGAGAACACUGCAGAAAAGAUUAGCAUACUCUGUGCAAAGGGAUGACACUCAAAUCAAAAGCCUCCCAUAUUUUU
rfam:Erinaceus europaeus unplaced genomic scaffold scaffold00111, whole genome shotgun sequence